CGCAUCCAAAUAGUUUAAAAAUUGAAUCCGUGGAAUUUUUUUAGAGUUACAGGAUUCCCUAUUUAAUUUGGACCAAAAUUACAGUUUAUAAAUUCCGUGGAGAUUUUUUACUGUGCAUCCAAACAGGCUUUAGUGUUUCAAAAUGAGUUUUCAAGUAGGAAACGUUUUAAACUAAUAGAUGUGAAUUUAUAAUUAUCUGUAAUGGAAUGAAUGGUAAAUGUGAUGUGGUAAAUGUAUGUGGAUGUUCAUAUAUUUGUGGUUGUAUCUUGUACUUGUGCGACGCCGUGCAAAUAUAGGGAAGACUCUAUCCGUGUGUGUAAUAUACCGAAACUCGGUAGAGAAUAUCGAACUUUAGCUGAAUUGACUAAAGUGUGAGAAAGAAAUAGUUGGACGAAAUCUAUUUA
rnacentral:lncRNA from 1 species